UUUCUGAUUGGUUCCCCCCAGAAGCA
rnacentral:piRNA from 1 species